UCGAGAAUCUUCGGCAAUGGGCGCAAGCCUGACCGAGCGACGCCGCGUGUGGGAUGAAGGCCUUCGGGUUGUAAACCACUGUCAGAGGGGAUGAAAUGCAGGUGGGUUCUCCCAUCUGUUUGACAUAGCCUCAGAGGAAGGACGGGCUAAGUUCGUGCCAGCAGCCGCGGUAAGACGAACCGUCCAAACGUUAUUCGGAAUUACUGGGCUUAAAGGGUGCGUAGGCGGCGCGGAAAGUUGGGUGUGAAAUCCCUCGGCUCAACCGAGGAACUGCGCCCAAUACUACCGUGCUUGAGGGAGAUAGAGGUGAGCGGAACUUAGGGUGGAGCGGUGAAAUGCGUUGAUAUCCUAAGGAACACCGGUGGCGAAAGCGGCUCACUGGAUCUCUUCUGACGCUGAGGCACGAAAGCUAGGGUAGCGAACGGGAUUAGAUACCCUUGUAGUCCCUGAGCGGGCUGGCAAGGCGCAU
rnacentral:rRNA from 1 species